rnacentral:lncRNA from 1 species
UAAAUACAUAGGACAUAAAUUCAAAAAAUACAUUGAGCACAAAAGUAUUUAAAAAUACUUUUAAAAUAAAUUUAGGAACAUAAAAAACUAAAAAGGUCUUUAAAAGCUAAAAAAAAUGAAGACGCUUACAAUAUUGGUUGUAAGCUUUAUUUUGACUAUUGAAGCUGCUAGAGAUUGUCCACCAACAAGUAACUUAGAAAUGAGGUUACAAGACGGUCAAAUAUAUAGGAA